rnacentral:antisense_RNA from 1 species
GUCAAUGGUGGCUCAGGCGGGGGCUCCGAAAGGAGCGCCGGAGCCCGUGGUAGCCGGUUACGCCAACCCCGUCUGGGCUACCACCCAC